UGAUGCUAAAUAAAUCUACUGUAUAUUUCACGAAGUUGAUGGAGCUAGUUAAUAUAUAUUUAUAGAUAACAAGAUGUCGCACAAUUAAGAUAAUACUAAUUAGGGGUGAUAGGCUAAUCACUUUCAACGAUAACUUGAUGACUGAGAAAUGUAUUAGUACAAAGACACUCUUGAAAUGAUAAGGUUUCAAGAUUAGACAAAUGAGAAUUUUUAUUCUGUAUCUUAUUUAACCAUAAAUACAUUUGGUACUUAACAUAAAUUUGCUAUGGUUGUUUAAAUUAUCGGUUUAUCGGCGAAUUUGACCUUAUAUAAAUAAUGUUUAUAUUAGUAACGAAUAAUUAUAAAUAAUGAACUCGGCAAGAAACCUUUCAACUGUUUAUCAAAAACAUAGCUAUAUGAGAAAAUAUAUAGUAUUUUCUGCUCAAUGAGUUUUAAAUAGCCGCAGUACCCUGACUGUGCUAAGGUAGCGCAAUCAAUUGACUUUUAAAUGAAGUCCUGUAUGAAGGAAAUUAUGGGGGGUUCCUUUCUCAUUUAUAAUUUAUGAAUUUACUUAAGAAGUGCAAAUUCUUCUUGAAUAAAUAAAAGACGAGAAGACCCUAGAAAUUUUAUAGACAGCAACUUUUUGUUGGGGCAACAGAGUAGUAAUUAAUCUACUACAACGACACGAAAUAUCUAUUUGGUAAGAUUAAAUUACUCUAGGGAUAACAGCAUAAUUAAAAAUAGUUUGUGACCUCGAUGUUGGAUUAGGGAAUAACAUCAGAAG
rnacentral:rRNA from 1 species